UACGUAGGGUGCAAGCGUUGUCCGGAAUUAUUGGGCGUAAAGAGCUCGUAGGCGGUCUGUCGCGUCUGCUGUGAAAACUCGGGGCUUAACCCCGGGCCUGCAGUGGGUACGGGCAGACUAGAGUGCGGUAGGGGAGACUGGAAUUCCUGGUGUAGCGGCGAAAUGCGCAGAUAUCGGGAAGAACACCCGUGGCGAAGGCGGCUCUCUGGAACGCAACUGACGCUGAGACGCGAAAGCGUGGGGAGCAAACAGG
rnacentral:rRNA from 1 species